UGUAAGAGAAACGCGACAUUUGUUUUAACGUAAAAGGCUCACAAUUCUCCAAGUCUGUUGUCUAUCGCAAACCCUAGGUCAUGUCUGGAACGUACAAUCAAGGCGGCGGCGGCGGCGGUGGUGGUGCGCCUAUUCCGUCGUACGGUGGGGAUGGAUACGGAGGAGGAGGAGGUGGAGGUUAUGGAGGUCGCAGUUCCUCUGGCGGAGGUGGAUACGGCGGACGCGGUGGUUACGGUGGCGGCGGCGGUAGAGGAAAUCAAGGCGGUGGUGGAUAUCAAGGAGGUGAUCGCGGUGGAAGAGGAGGUGGAGGAGGCGGCGGGAGAGGCGGUGGUGGGAGAGAUGGUCGUGGUAGAGAUGGUGAUUGGCGUUGCCCUAACCCUAGUUGUGGGAACGUGAACUUUGCAAGGAGAGUUGAAUGUAACAAGUGUGGUGCACCUGCUCCUUCUGGCACUGGUGACCGAGGAGGUGGCCGAGGUGCCAGUGAUCGUGCUGGUGGUGGUCGUGAUAGUAGUCGUGAUAGUGGUAGGAGCUAUGAGAGUAGUAGAUAUGAUGGUGGCAGUAGGAGUGGUGGUGGUGGCUCUUAUGGUAGUGAUAGUCAACCUAGGGGUAAUGGUUCUUAUGGUCAGGGUCCUCCGCCUCCUUUGGCGGCUAUUCCAUCCUAUGAUGGUUCUGGCAGUUACCCUCCACCCAUGGGGUAUGGAAUGGAAGCAGUUCCUCCGCCUUCAAGCUAUGCAGGGGGUCCACCUUCGUAUGGUGGUCCCACAGGGGGUUAUGGCGGUGAUGCACCGAGCACUGGUGGUCGGGGUGGUAGAGGUGGUGGAUAUGAUGGUGGUAGAGGUGGUGGCUACGAUGGUGGUAGUGCUCCUCGACGCCAGGAACCUAACUAUGGAGAUGCACCUGCUGAAAAAGUCAAGCAGUGCGACGAGAAUUGUGAUGAAACUUGUGAUAAUGCCAGAAUAUACAUCUCUAAUUUACCUCCGGAUGUGACGACCGAUGAACUCAAGGAUCUCUUUGGUGGCAUUGGCCAAGUUGGAAGAAUCAAGCAGAAGCGGGGUUACAAAGAUCAGUGGCCCUAUAACAUCAAGAUUUACACUGAUGAGAAGGGAAAGAACAAAGGUGACGCCUGCCUGGCUUAUGAAGAUCCCAGCGCAGCACACUCGGCAGGCGGCUUUUUCAACAAUUAUGAAAUGAGGGGGAACAAGAUUACUGUAGCGAUGGCAGAGAAGUCUGCGCCUAAAGCUCCUGCUUUUGACCAGAGAGGUGGCGGUGGUAGAGGAGGGGGUGGCUAUGGUGGUGGUGGGGGAGACAGAAGAAGAGAUAACUAUGGUUCAGGACCAGACAGAAACCACCAUGGGGGAAACCGGUCGCGUCCGUAUUGAGAGGAAUCAAUGAAUCAGCAGCAGCUUGUUAUGUAUUCUAAGAGUUUUGUGUGUGUUGAGAGUUUGGAAUUUUAGUUAUAAAUGUUGCGUUAAUGGGGGAAACUGUACUAUAAAUCAUCAUAUUUUGGAGAUGCAAACGAAAAAAAGAGGAAGUGGGAUAAAUUGACUCCAAAAUGCAUUGCGAAUUGGUGCGAAUGAUGACUUCAGCAACAUAUGUGCGAUACGAAACGGCAGGAAGUGGGGGUUGGCUAGGCAUUUCUUUCUGAUCCGUGGAACCUGUAGUAUGGAAUGAAAUUUCAAAGAUCAGCUUGAUGAAUCUAGUGCUAACUAGGUGGUUUUUAUAAGACCCGUUGAGGCUAUAGCGAAUAUUUACAAACCAGUGGCGGUUUUAGGUCAAUAUAAAUGAUUCAUUGAAAGAGAAAGGGUAUCUCGUAAAGUUUUUUAGAUGUGCCUUGAUACGAUAAUGGCCAAUUGGAAUCUUAUUGUUGAUGUCUGAGUUGGAUCCGGUAUAGUUGCCGUCGCCGACAUGUCGUUACGAAAGAAUAAAAGGA